UAGUCUCGCACAGAUGCAUAUCAAUAAGCGGAGGAAAAGAAACUAACAAGGAUUCCCCUAGUAACGGCGAGUGAAGCGGGAAGAGCUCAAAUUUGAAAUCUUAAAGGGUUUCCCUUUACGAAUUGUAGUUUAAAGAAGUGUUUUCUGUUGAGGUUUUGGUAAAAGUUCUUUGGAAUAGGACAUCAUAGAGGGUGAGAAUCCCGUAUUUGACCUUUACUUUCAACUUUGUGAUACACUUUCAAAGAGUCGGAUUGUUUGGGAAUGCAGUCCAAAAUGGGUGGUAAAUUUCAUCUAAGCUAAAUAUUGGCGAGAGACCGAUAGCGAACAAGUACCGUGAGGGAAAGAUGAAAAGAACUUUGAAAAGAGAGUUAAACAGUACGUGAAAUUGUCAAAAGGGAAGCGUUUGACACCAGUGUUGUUUUUCUGAAAAUCAAUUAAAGAACUGUUUAUGCUAAGUUGUUUAGACUUUAUCAGCUAACUGUUUAGUUUUGAGCUUUUCUUUAAUGCACUUUUCAGUUAACAAGUCAACAUCAAUUUCUUUUGCUGUAAAAAAGCUUGAGGAAGGUGGCUUGAGAUUCGUCUUAAGUGUUUAUAGCCUCUUGCCUAUGCAGUCGGAGAGAUUGAGGUCUGCAGCGUAGAUCCUUCGGGGCUAAAUGCAUUUGUGCUAAGUUAUAACAUUUUAUAGACAACUUGUUGACUAUGAUUUGUCUUGUAGCUUACUCGCUUAUGUUAUUUUACCUACGCUUAGGAUGUUGAUCUGUAGUGCGUGCGC
rnacentral:rRNA from 1 species